GCCAUGGUUCAGUGGUAGAGCAUCUGCUUUGCAUGCAGAAGGUCUGAGGUUCAUUCUCCUGGUAGGCA